rnacentral:rRNA from 1 species
GACGAACCGUCCUAACGUUGUUCGGAUUCACUGGGCUUAAAGGGCGCGUAGGCGGCCUGGUAAGUCCGGGGUGAAAUCUUUCGGCUCAACCGGAAAAGUGCCUUGGAAACUGCCAGUCUCGAGGGGGGUAGGGGCCUGUGGAACUUCGGGUGGAGCGGUGAAAUGCGUUGAUAUCCGAAGGAACGCCGGUGGCGAAAGCGACGGGCUGGACCCCUUCUGACGCUGAGGCGCGAAAGCUAGGGGAGCGAACGGG